CGCUCCCGACCAUGUGCGUGAUCACCGGUAAGAAAUGACCUAACACAUUCAAGAAAGGGAGCCUUUAUUCCGAUGUGGCCUGAACGCCCCCCCGGCACGGCCGUGGUCAGGGGACUCAGAAAGCAGCGGAGCGGGCACCCACCUGUGGAGAGCAGGUUCAUUGUUCUACCGGGCACACGGCAUGGUGGGGUAUGC
rfam:Symbiobacterium thermophilum IAM 14863 DNA, complete genome.